CUGCCUUCAAGUAUCAUUUUAUCAGCUAAACAGAGUAAAUGACAAAGAGAAGAAUAUUGCUAAUGACAUUCCCAAGUGUGAUAGAUUUCUUCCAGUCCAAUAUGCUUAUGCAGCUUAUACAGCUUUGAUCUCAUGUGUCCUUCAUACCAGCAACAGGGAAACAAAGGUCUUACAGGUCAUCCAUCUCAAGCUGAUUUCACCCCUCACUUUUCAAGGCCUUUGGCAUGUGUGAGUCAGGCAUGUACUUACUACAUUACACUACUAGUUCAGAUUGGUAUAAGUCCUGAGCAUCUGCAUUUUUACCAAGUUCCCAGACUAAUUGGAGGCUGCUAGGAUCCCAGAAUUCACACAAUUCAACAGCAGUUCAAAAUAUUUAUGCUUGUCCUUGCUGAGAAAGAAAUUUAAUAGAAACAGCUCCUGAGUACACAAUAAAGUGAAAAUAGCAAUCUCAAACUGUAUGGAAGUCAACUGUACUUAUAAAACAGAAACCGGAAGGGUCAGAUCUGCAGAUUCAAAGCUAUCCAAUCUCCAUGACACAGGGGAACAACAGGAUAUCCCUUCAAGAGGAGUCCCUUCAAGGGCUCUAUAUCAAUAGUAUAACAGAAACCAGAGGCCUUGAGCCAGACCAAUGACUCAAUACAAUGAACAUUCACAAGUAAAGAUGUAUGGACUAAGGGCCACAAAGGCUUACACUCUGAGAUUUGGGUUUUUUUUAUGGUUUUGAGCUAUACUUUUAAAUUUUGUUUUGUUUUGGGGAGGAGGUUGAAAGGGCAGAGGGUGGAGGUGAGGGUAUGGGGAGAUGAGUGGGAUCUGGAUGUAUGAUGUGAAAUCUACAGAGAAUCAAUAAAAAGUAAAGAAACCAUAACAGGUAAGAUCGUUUUACUAAGAGUAAAGGUUUGCACUGCAAAAAUUGUUACCUUGGAGCUACACACUCCCCCAAAACUGAAAAGCAUAACUGUAUUUGAUACAGAUGGCGAUAACCCACUCUAAGGUCAUUAGCAUAGCUCCUCGAAUAAUAUAUGACUAAUAACAACAAAUAAAACCAGAAGUAAUUUUGCUCACUAAAGUACAUUUAGAUUGCUUAUUAUAUAAGACAUAGUUAUUGCAUUGUUUAGGAUAUAGCAAUAGAAAUCUGUAUGUUCAAUAUAUAUACUAUAUUUCCUUUCAAAUUUUUGAUUCACAGAAGUAGAACCCUUGACAUAGAAGGAGUUUUGUAUUUUCAAAUAAGUUGUCAUGUAUUAUUACGUCUCAUCUUGAUGCAUUUUACUGAAAAAAUUAAUAUUUUCUUUCUAUUUUUCAGUUCCAAGAACUUUGGGAUGUUAUUGAUAUUUCAAUCUCCAUCAAAUUUUGUCAAUUCACAUAGUUUUUUUCUUAUUGAUUUCAAUUGUUUCCUUACAUUUUUUAAUUACUACAACAGUUAUAGGUCAGUUAUUUUGAAUUUUUACCAAGCCAUUGUCCCUCAUCUUUCCACUUAGUAAUAUCAUGAUUCCUAUCGGUUUUAAAGUUAUGGCCAUACAUCAAUGUCUACAUACCCAAGGAAGCACUUUUUCCAUUCAAGAAUCAGUGCAGGGCUGACUAUCUAUAUCUGGGCAGCUUUGCCCAUUUCAAUGUUUUUAGAUGCCCAGCCCCAUAAAACUGAAGAGAGAUCUGUGUGACCACUGACAAGUGUACACUGAAACAUACCUAAAGUUCACAGCGAUGGAAAUAGCCCAAUUUCCCAUUCUCUCCUGAAGUCUAAAGCUAUUGUAGUUUGAUAAUAUUGAUAUAGGCUGUAGAUGAGUUCACCUUGAUGCAUUUGGGUGUCUGACUAGUCAGUGAUUAUUCUUGGAGACUGUAUCAGCUCAAGGACAUGGCGGGGAAGGGCGGCAGAGUUGUCCCAAUGUUAGGAUUUACUGUGGUACAUCUGAUGUUAACAGGCACAGAAAAGUCAAAAGCUUAUGUUUCCCUCUCCCCCAGAUCAAAUUUCUGUCUGCCCAGGCUGUUUUCACUGAGUUUGAAGAUAAAGCAAUGCUGGUCCUAUGAACUGUUCUUCCUUUUCUUUACAGUGAAUCUUCUUCUUUUUUAAUAAAUCCUUAUUUAUUUUACAUCCUGUCUGUAGUUUCCUCUCCCUCCUCUCCUUCUAGUCCUUCGCCCUUCCAUGUCACCUGUUCCCACCUACCCCUAGUUCACUCCUCCUCUUCUGUUUCUGUUUAGGAAAAGACAGGUUUCCCUUGAGUGUCAACGAAACAUAGAAUAUCUAGUUGAGGUAGGACUAAACACCUCCCCAAGUAUUAAGGUUGGGUGAGGUGACCCAGUAAAAGGAGUAAGGACCCCAAAGCAAGUAAAAGAGUUGGAGAUAGACCCUGUUCCCACUGUUAGGACUCCUAACAAGAGGAUCAAGCUACACAAUUCUAACAUAUAUGCAGAGUGUCUAGGUCAGUCCCAUGCAGAUUCCCUAGUUUUCACUUCAGUCUCUUUGAGCCUAGGUAAAUUGGUUCUGUGAGUUUUCUUGUAUUGUCCUUGAUCCCUCUGGUUCCUACAAGCCUUACUCUCUCUUUUGUGGGUUUCCCUAAUGUUUGACUAUGGGUCUGCAUCUGUUUCCAUCAGUUGCACGAUGAAGCCUCUCUAAUGACAACUGGGCUAGGCACCAAUCUGAUCACAAGAGAUGGCCAGUAGAGGCUAUGCAUCUGCUGUUGCUAGGAGUCUUAGCUGGGGUCAUCCUUGUAGAUUCAUGGGAUACCCUUGUGCCAGAUUUUUACCUAGAAAACCCUACCCCCUUCCAGUAGUUUUUUUCAGUAUUCUCCCCCUCUGCCAUUCCCCCAACCUGUUUGCUCAUGUUCCUAUCCCCACCUGCUCACAGUCCAUUCACAAAAUCUCUUCUAUUUCCCCUUCCCAGAGAGAUUUGAGCAUCACCCCAUUAACCCCACAGUCAUGUGGCAUGGUGUCAUCCCUUGUUUCUAUACUCUGGUGAAGGUACCUUAAUAAUACCUGGUGAAUAAUACGUUAACAGUGAUUAUUUUCAUCCCAGUUAGAAUAAAAGAGACAUUAGACUUCAUGAUUUGAGUAUCUUCAGAGAUCUGAAACAUUAUCCUAAGAGAUCUAGCUUAAGUUGAGGUUUUAAAUAGAAUUUUAAAAAUUAAACUGAAAUUUGCAUCUAGAUGCUGUUAUUAUUUUAAAAACAUAUUUAUAUUUUGCCAUUUAUUCAUUUAAAUUGUUUCUUUUAUUUUUGAGUUUUACAGUAAAAUUACAUUAUUUCCCCAUUCCCCUUUCUUCCAUAAAAUCCUCUCAAUGUGCUCUUUUGUCUCUUUUUCAAAUGUAUGUGUAUGUGUGUGCCUGAGUGUAUAUGUGUUCACCACAUGCAUGCAGGAGUUUGCAGAGGAGAGAAAAGAGCAUUGCAUCCACUAUAACAGGAGUUCUUUGAAGUUGUCAGCAGUCAUGUGGGUUCUGGGAACCAAAUCCAGGUCUUCUGGAGAAAUAUCAAGUACUUCUUACACAAUGAUCCAGCACUCCUUCCCCAAGCUGUCAUGUGACUCUUGAUUAUUUUUAUAUCUAAACAAGAAAGUUGCUCCCAGUUCCUUUUACCUUUCUAUGCAUGAAACACAAACUGGUUCUUUCUAUUUUCUCUUCUAUAUAGAGUUUGUUGCAUAUAUGCAUAUGUGCAUAUAUAUAUGCAUAUAUAUAUGCAUAUGUGCAUAUAUAUAUAUAUGUGUGUGUGUGUGUGUGUGUGUGUGUGUGUGUGUGUGUGUGUGUGUUACAACAGGACAUUAUGCUAAAGGAAGCAGAAUAACCUAUUGAUGUGUCUCCCACUGGAAAGAAAUUAGCCUCUAGUCUCACAGUGUUACUAUAAAAACAAAACAAAAAUGUCUUUUCCAAUUGGAUUAAGACACAGCAGAGUGGUUACAUAUUUAUAUAGCUUCAGAUAGAAUACUUCCACAGGAAAAAAAUGACAUUUUGUGAUGCAAUGAGAACUAGACAAAACAUUCAUAUAUAAAGAGCAAUAUCUUUUAAUAUUAGAAACCAGUCAUUUCUUAGGUGACUAUGAAAGUAGAAGAUAUUUCCACAAAUGCACUGUAAAGCACAUUCUAGCAUUUCUAAUAUUCCUUAAAAUAAUUCCUUUAUUAUCAUUUACAUCUCAAUACUAUAACAACUCUUGAGUUUGCAUUAGUUGCAGCUGAGCAGAAAGAGGAAAGCCUGUUCAGGUUUUAAAAGGGCUAUGCAGCACAGAAUAUGGCAACAUACUUUAAGUAAGAAAAGCUAAAAAUGUCCAUUUCAUGGUGAGGGACAAACCUUAUGAGCUCAGUGUUAGGAAGUAAAAAAGAAAAUCGCUGUGAUUUCUGACCUUGCUGUGCCAAGGACUCUAGCAUGGAAGAGACAAACAAUAUAUAAGCAAUGGCUCAUAUGCCUGCUAUUCAUUUUUCAAUCUUAAAUAUCUUUCCAUAUAUUUCAUACUUAUGAGAUACUUUAUGUUAAUAGUCCCAAGGUACAUUUGCAGUAAAUGAAGAAAAGAAAAAUUGCUCAGAAUGUACACUUUUGAAAUUUGCCAUCAUGGAGUGCAACAAUAAAUCAGAACCAAACAAGAAAAAUUGGUUCUAAAGAAAUUGAAGUCCACUCAAGGUUACAAAUGACGGACUUUACAAAGUACUGGAUUUUAUAAAAAUAUAGGCUACAGUGUCAAAUUAAUCAUUUUGAAAUAUGCUUUGGCUUAGUGAAUAUAUAUAUAUUAUAUAUAUAAUAUAUAUAUGGAGAGAGAGAGAGAGAGAGAGAGAGAGAGCAUACACACACACACACCACCAUUUCUUCAACUAAAUAUAGGUGUGUUUUGUAAAAACAAAGCAUAUAUUAAGUCUUCAUUUUUAGAUUGGUUUUAUCAAAAAUCUUCAUGUAGCCAGUGCGUAAAUGUAGUCGUGUUUGCUACCUGUAAAGUAGAAGAAACAUUACCAAUCAGAAAGCAGUGGGAUAACAAUUAGCUAAAAUAGUCUUUCCCUACAUAUCCAAGUUAUGAUACUUUCAAUUAUACAGCCCAAUAUCUCAAACUAAGAGAGAGAUCCUCUAAGAGAUUCAUCAUUAAGGGAACACAUGUUCCUAUCCACGAAUUACACAUUGAAAGCUGAAUCCUAACUUGCAGGAGUUGAGCAUAAUAAGACCAGGGAGGGUAGCUAAUUAAAUCAGCUGCCAAACAUCACAAUACACUCAAGACUGUCUUCCAUAAAGAGGAGGAUAUGUCACUACAACCAAAAUGUGCUUGGUCCAUUUCCCGCAUGAUGUAUGCAGUAAACUACAUUCUCUUUAACACUUUACAUGUUUCCGUUUAGACAGCUGUCUCCUUUUAGGAUGUUGUCUACAGAUGUGUGCCAGACACAUGCUUUUUAGAAUGUUCCAGCAUGGCCCCUCAAAAUUCUAAGCCUGGAACAAUCAAGGUAUUGCCAAGGAAAGUCUGUUUAUGGGGAAAAUGCUUUCUUCAUAACAAUGGAAAGCAUUCAUAAAACAGACACUUAGUGAUGAAGACAUUAAAAGUUUUUAAUUGUUUUUACCAAUUAGUCAUAGAAGAAUCUAAGGAAAUUUGUAUUGGAGGAUAAUUAAGCAAUGAUUAAGUUAAUCAUGUAAUUAAAGAAAAUUAUAACUUGCAUAGGUAUGCUUUUGUACUUGAGGAGCGAUUUGAUCAAUUUUAGUGGAUAGUUUUUUUUAACCUAUCAUAGACACAUGAAUAUACAUCAUAACUUGCUGUCGGGCUAACAGGAAAUAUUAAGGUAUUUUAACUUUUGGAGGGGAAUAUUAUUUAUUUUCUUCUGUUUUUUAUUGAAAAUAAUGUUUCUGUGCUGUAGAUUUAGCUGCUUUGAUCUCAUGAGUCGGAUGAGUAUUUUUCCUGCAUGUAUAUCUGUGUAUCAGCCUGUGCAAUGACUGUGGAGGCCAGGAGCAGGCAUCAACCUCCUGCCCCCAGAGCCAGCAGCCACCUUCUGGGUCCUUGGGAAGAGCAAUGAUGCUCUUAGCUUCCCUGACAUUACUCCCCCUCCUAUGUUAACUAUUACAAUGUGGACAUGUCAGGUUAGCAUUCUAAGCACAUGUUGUGCAAACAAAUUUUAGAAUGAGUGGUAGAAAUUAUCCAGAGCACAACAUUGAGCUGCUUUAUCCAAUAAAAAUGUUCAAUUUCCCACAAAAUAAAUAUUGGUAAAAUUCCACAUUAGUUUUGAAAACACUAAUGUGAUUAACCUAGACUUCAACAUAGACAAUUAGAUAUUUUAUAAUAUUCUAUAAUGUCUCAGAAGACAUAUCAUAGUGUUUAGUUCAAGUUACUGGAAACACAAAAAAUUCAGUUAGGAAUGAUGUGAUAAUUCUUGUAAAAUGUCUAGCAUGACUGGGUAUUGGUGGUGCAGGCCUUUAAUUCCAGCACUUGAGAGACAGAAGCAGGUGGAUCUCUGUGAGUUCAAGGCCAGCCUGGUCUACAGAGAGUGCCAGGAUAGACUCCAAACAUACACAGAGAAACCCUGUCUCAAAAAUAAACAAAACAAAAUAAAAGUCUAGCAUGGUUAGUAUUUGUUCAAUAUCAGUUAAUGAGAUAAAAAUAAAAAUUUCUACAUAAGACAAUUUAUGGUUAAUCUCUAACUUAAGGAGAAUAAAGCGUUUUAUUUGGAAUUUCUAAUCUUUCAAACCAAGCAUUUUCUACUCAUGCUGCAUUUGUUGUGUGUGUGGGGGGCAUAUAUUGGGAAAUUUUCCUUCCAAGUUAGUUCACUUUUAGCCCAGGCUAAUUUACUUACACUUUCAUUUUUAUGUAGAAAAACUUGGACAUUAAUAUACAUAGUGCCUUGAACACCCUCAAAAGUUUUGCCAAAACUCUUAAGUAUUAUCUACAAUUACCUACUUUUGCUUUAAACUAGGUUACUCAAUUAAUUAACUGAUUUUCUUGUAAUUUUAUGUUCUAAUUUUCACCUAGUGAUUUCUUUAUCAUCAGGAUGCUAUGCUGUUAACCCAUGAAUGGGAAAAGGUAUGGCUAAUGUGUAUAGGCAGCCAAUCAAGUUUUAUGAUGAUAUUUGUUUACAUUGUUUCAUCAAAAUCUAUAUAUUCCUAUAUCUUCAUUUUUUAUCUUGCUCUUAUGAAU
rnacentral:lncRNA from 1 species